UUCUUCGUUUGACGUCCGUUCUCGCCUAACUUUUUAUCGCUUCGAUACCAACAAUGAGAUCUUCGAUUCUCAUUUAGAUUGCUUCGGCUAAAAACCGCUCGAUCUCAAAUCGAGUAUUUCGGGCUGCACACCGCUAAGCCGGAACUUCGAUAAAUCAUAACUUCCUCAUACGAAGUCAGAUUUGGGCGUUCUAUAUAUAUUCGGAAACCUCGUUUCAACUACUACAACAUUAACCAAAGAUAUUAAGUUUAUUUUACACUUAAAUUUUGACGCUUAUUUUUAUUCUUAAUUAAUCAAACCACAUAAUUAAGCAAUUAAGCACAAAACACAUAAUACUCAAAUAAUACAAUCUUAUUAUUUCAAAACGGGUUACAAAGGUUAACCUAGACUAUUACAUUGCUAAAAAUGGCAAGCCCGAAACACAGGCGUUACAAUUCUCUCCACCUUAGAAUGAUUCCGUCCCCGGAAUCACACAUCAACAAACAAAUGCGGAUAGCGACUCAACAUGUCACUCUCCGUCUCCCAGGUGAGAUUCGGCCCAUUCGUGUGUUUCCAUCGGACAAGCACUAACCCAACCAUUUUGCGUCGCAACUUCUUAGUCUUUCGGUCAACAAUUGCCUCUGGUUCUUCAAUCAACCUUUUGUUCUCAUCAAUUCUCAAUUCAGAAAUUGGAAUUAUAUCGGGAACUUCUCCCGUGAACUUCCUCAAAUAACACACAUGAAAGGUGUUGUGAAUUCCAUUCAGUUCUUCGGGUAAUUCGAGCUUGUAAGCUUGGUUCCCAAUCCUCUGAAGGACUUUAAACGGUCCAAUAAACCUUGGACUCAACUUUCCCCUUUUACCAAAUCUUAUAAGUCCCUUCCACGGCGAGACUUUAAGCAAAACCGAAUCUCCAACCUCAAAAGUCAUCGGUCUUCGCUUCUUGUCAGCAUAGCUCUUUUGACGAUCUUGAGCUGCUAACAUUCUUUCCCUAAUUAUUUUCAACUUUUCAGCAGUUUGAUGAACCAUCUCCGGUCCCAUAAACUGCUUUUCCCCAGCCUCAAGCCAACAAGACGGCGUACGACACUUCUGUCCAUACAAAGCUUGAUAAGGUGCCAUCUUAAUGCUCGAGUGAAAACUAUUAUUAUAGGAAAAUUCUACCAACGGUAAAUGUUCAUCCCAAUUACCUAGGAAUUCCAAGGUACAUGCUCUCAGCAUAUCUUCAAGUGUUUGUAUUGUUCUUUCACUCUGACCAUCAGUCUGCGGAUGGUAAGCUGUGCUUAAACAUAACUUGGUACCCAUUUCCUCUUGUAGACUUUUCCAAAACCUUGAGGUGAAACGGCUAUCACGAUCCGAUACAAUCGUUAACGGAACACCGUGAAGCCUCACAAUUUCCUUCACGUAAGAAUUCGCAAGCUUUUCCAUAGACCAUUUCUCCCUGGCCGCUAUGAAAUGCGCACUCUUAGUGAAUCGAUCAACGACCACCCAAAUCAUGUCGUGACCAUUCUUUGUUCUGGGCAGUUUAGUGACAAAAUCCAUAGCAAUGUCUUCCCACUUACCCAUAGGCACAGGCAAAGGUUCUAAACUCCCGUACGGUUUCUGAUGUUGUGUCUUGACUCUCGCACAAGUCACACACUCGGCCACAUACUUUGCAACAUCAAGCUUCAUCGUCGGCCACCAGUAGUAGGGUUUCAGGUCCCUAUACAUUUUAGUGCUACCCGGAUGAAUCGAGUACAUGGUCUUGUGAGCUUCUUCCAUCAGAAGAUCCCUAAUUCCUCCUGACUUAGGUACCCAAAUACGAUCUUGGAAUACCUUCAGUCCAUGACCGUUAGUACCAAACACCAACGUUUUACCCAAACGUUCCUCCUUUCGGUCAUUUUUCUCAGAAGCUUCCUCUUGAGCUUUCUUUAUACUUUCCACAAUGGUCGAGACAACUUCAAUUCUCAACGCUCUUGGCCUCUUCCUUUCAAGAUUGACCUUCCGACUGAGAGCAUCAGCAACAACAUUAGCUUUACCGGGGUGGUAAAGUAUCUCGCAGUCGUAGUCUUUAAGUAAUUCUAGCCAGCGUCGUUGCCUCAUAUUCAAUUCUUUCUGAUUAAAGAGGUAUUGGAGACUCUUAUGAUCAGUGAAAAGUUUGCACUUCGUGCCAUAGAGGUAAUGCCUCCAUAUUUUCAGAGCGAAAACUACCGCUGCCAACUCCAAAUCAUGAGUCGGGUAAUUCUUUUCAUGCUCUUUCAGCUGUCGAGACGCAUAUGCUAUCACCUUUUCUCUUUGGGUCAAAACACAACCCAAUCCAACACCAGACGCAUCGCUAUAAACAGCGAAGUCUUCAACUCCAUCGGGUAGAGAAAGUAUCGGUGCCUCGCAUAGCUUCUUCUUUAACUUCUCGAAUGCUUCUUUAUGCUUCUCACUCCAAGCAUAAGUAGCUCCUUUGUGGGUCAAAGCUGUUAAUGGAGUAGCAAUCGAAGAAAAGCCUUGGAUAAACCUUCGGUAAUAUCCGGCUAAUCCUAAAAAGCUUCGAAUCUCCGUGGGACUUUUCGGUUGUUCCCACUUCGUCACAGCUUCGAUCUUCGCUGGAUCAACCAUUAUCCCUUCUUGGUUGACCACGUGACCCAAGAAUUGGACUUCACGAAUCCAAAAAUCACAUUUGGAGAACUUCGCAUAAAGCUUCUCCUUCUUCAAAACUUCUAACACUUCUCGCAAGUGUCUGCCAUGCUCCUCCUGGCUUUUCGAGUAGAUCAGAAUGUCGUCUAUGAACACUAUCACGGAUUUAUCAAGGAAAGGAUUACAAACCCUAUUCAUCAAAUCCAUGAACGCUGCUGGAGCAUUGGUUAGUCCAAACGACAUAACCAAGAACUCGUAGUGUCCAUAUCUAGUUCUGAAUGCAGUCUUCUCGAUAUCUUGCUCUCUUACUUUCAGCUGAUGAUAUCCUGACCUAAGAUCGAUCUUCGAGAAAUAGCUCGAACCUUGCAAUUGAUCAAACAGGUCAUCAAUCCUCGGCAACGGAUAUCUAUUCUUUAUUGUUGCCUUGUUCAGCUCUCUGUAAUCGAUGCACAUUCUCAUACUUCCAUCUUUCUUCUUUACAAAUAACACCGGAGCUCCCCAGGGCGAUGAACUAGGUCUAAUGAAACCUUUGUCCAAUAACUCCUGAAGUUGCAUCAUUAGCUCCUUCAUCUCCGUCGGUGCUAAUCGAUAAGGUGCUUUUGCUAUUGGCGUGGUUCCUGGUAACAAGUCUAUUCUGAACUCCACUUGUCUAUCAGGUGGUAAUCCAGGAAGAUCCUCGGGAAAUACUUCCGGAUAAUCACACACCACUGGAAUGCUCUGCAUCACCUUCUUUUCUUUCUUAGCAUCAAUCACGAAUGCUAAAUAUGAUGUACAUCCCUUGGUCAAACACUUUCUGGCUUUCAUUAGAGAAAUGAUUCCAGAAUUCACUCUGCGUUUGUCCCCAUACACCAUAAACGAAUCUUUUCCAGGCGGGUUUACUUUAACUAUCUUCUUCUUGCACAAAAUUUCGGCAUCAUUGGCGCUAAGCCAAUCCAUUCCCAAGACGAUGUCGAAACCAUUUAGUUCGAUAGGCAAUAAUUCCUCGAGAAACUUAUUCCCAUUAAGGUCGAUCAAGACGUUUUUCAUACGAUGGCUAACAGGUACAAACUUGCCACUAGCUACUUCGACUAAUAAAGCAUUAUUUAGUCUAUCAACAGGCAAAGCUAGCUUUCUACCAAACUCAUGCGAAAUAAAGGAGUAGUUGGCUCCAGAAUCAAACAAUAUAUGAGCAGGUAAUUCGUUUACGAGAAAGGUACCUGAAGCGACAUCAGCUUCAUCUUUCGCAGCCUCAAGUGUCAUCUGGAAGGCUCUCGCCUUCGGCUUUGGUGGAAUGUUGGGCCUAGCUGCCUCCUUCUUCUUCGGACAGUCUUUCAAAAUAUGCCCCUCUUCAUUACAACCAAAACACAUCCUUUUGUUGUUCGGACAUUCAUUGGCAAAAUGUCCAACCUUUCCACACUUGUAGCAGGUCACAUCCUCGCUACAUUUCCCAAAGUGCUUUUUCUUACACUUAUCACACCACUUUGCUUCGCCUCCUUUUCCUCCAAACUUUUUCGAAUCAGAUUUCGAAAAUUUGCUCUUCUUACUGGAACCAGAUGUUCCUUCAAACUUCCUUUUCUCACCAACCUCAACCUUGACGGUGGUUCUCCCCUUGAUCAUGUUCUCCACAGACUUGGCAGCCCAGAUAGCUGCCUCUAGAGUAAGUGCCUGACGUACCGGCACCUCGUACUCCCAUGGAAGUCCCUUCGCAUACCGAUCCACCUUUGUCAGCUCGUCUGGAACGAUACGCAAGGCAAACUCCAUCUUAUCGGUGAAGUUAUUGGUGUAUUCAUCAACUGACAUGCUACCCUUCGUCAAUGUCAAAAACUUAUUCUCCAACUCCAACAGAUUUUGAGCCGAGCAGAACUUGCGCUUGAACUGCACCAAGAACUCUGCCCAUGACAAUUGCAGUGGCUCAUUAGGGCUUAAGGUCUUCCCUAGAGUGUUCCACCAACGAACGGCUCCACCUCGGAAUUGUCGCACGGCAUAGAUAGUCUGCAACUUACCUCUGCAGCCACAUGUCAUAAAGGCUAACUCCAUUUCGGAGAUCCAAUCCAUAACCCCAAUCGGAUCCUCCUUUCCAUUGAAGGUCGAUGGUUUGCAAGUCAAAAAGUCCUUGUACUUGCAUCCCAUUCCAUCAUUCCUUCCUUCAUGGUUAUCUUGCCUAACUAUCGGUGGGUUGGCUGGACCAACAGACCCACUGAAGUUUCCACCUUCCGAGUGCCCUUCAUUUAAUUCAGGCUCUUCCACACGAAUCGACAGUUCUUCACGAUUUUGUUGAAGCAACCGUCUAGUUUCAUCCAUCUGACGAUCCAACAUCGUCUGAAUCAUCAAUUGCACACCAGCCAUGGUUAUUGGCUCAGGUGCUGCUGCUACGACAGGUAUUGGCUCAAUCACUGGUGGUUGAUUCCUGUUUUCGUCAGCAUUUCCAACUCCACUUCUUGUUCUCACCAUUUUGAUCUACACCCCGAAUAAGGUGAAAUUAGAUCCUCAAUCAUGAUAGAUAUUCAAAUCAUCCUUAUCACUCCGAAACGUUUACAUGCUAGUUCUAAUAUCGUAGACGUACGCUUAGAAUCCUACACACAUAAGGUUUCUAGAUCCGGUCGGCAACAGACCAUAGAUCCGAACAAAUAAUAUCAUAUAUGGCAACAUAUAACAUUUAGCACAUAAAGCAUUUUAGGCAACUUUCCUAAAAUAAACUAGUGCUCGUGUCUAAAACACAACAGACACACAUCUCAAAACUUCACUUAGCAUUCUAAGUUUAAGUCUAGAAAUCCUACAAAUUCCUAGUUCGCUUAAACUAAUGCUCUGAUACCAACUGUGACAUCCCCAAAAUCUCGGCCAGAAAAGACCGAUUUUCAUUUAUGCUUUUAAAUAUUUUCAGAGUAAAUCCUUUUGAUUUGAAAGAGUUGCGGAAUUUGUUCCCAAAAACAAAACAUGAUAAAACAUUGUUUACCGAAGCAUUUCAUAAAAGAAAUGUAUUUUCAUUAUAAUCAAAACUCGGGGUGUCAUGUUCCGAUACAGACCAAUAAGCAUAAACGAAUACAUUACAAGUCAUAUAACAAAUAUAAACAUAUGCAGACUUGUAAACAAAACAACUUGAUGGUUCAUCCAUCUCAUGCCCUUCCGCCACUACCUGUAAUACAAUUUAAAACUGAGUGGGUCAGGCUUGGGAGCCUGGUGAGCAUAUAGGGUUUUCAACCCACAAUAAAUAUCAUAUUUAAUUUUCACCAACCAACAAUAACCCAAUUACCCAUUCCCGUUAUUCUCACUUUAAUGUCCCUAAAACAACUAACAUAAGGGACCUAGUCUAAGAAUAUUUCAUCGGGGCGACAACACAUGCUUCGGGGGUACCUCAGCAAUAUAAGUCAAAUAAGGCAACCAUGAGGGGGAUGGAGUACAGCGAAUGAACACCCAAGUUCAUUAACACCUACAGGUGGCGAACCUGCUAAUGUUUCCACAAGACUGUCUAGAAUAGCCAGUGGUCGUCAUCUAAACUCCGCUAGAUGACUCAAUCAAACAACAACGAGGCCUCUCAUCUGUUUAUUACACACCAACUGUCUACCCAUGUUCUACCCAACAUAUUAGUAGAUAAAAAUAUACAUUUGUAUACAUAGUUUAAAGAAAACCUGUAUAGCAUGCUUUAAUCAACACAUAUAUCACAUAACAGAUGAGGCACACACACACAUAACACAUAUCUCAUAAAGAAAUAAGCAGAUCUAUAAGAUAGAAGAGAGUGAAUACUCAUUCACACAUAACACAACCAAAUAUAUACACAUAGCACGUAUUUUUAUAUAAAAUACUUCGUAUUAUUGUAUUAGAAGAAAUAACUACACACUCACUUGAUCAGAAGAUGAUCGGACAGCACUACGGCUUAUAGAAGUAGUAAUCCACAGCAGAUCUGGAAGAUCUUCUCGAAAAUCGAACUUCUCGCGGGCAGAGCUUCGACUCGGGAACCGCACUUUUCGGGAUCUUCGGGAUCUCGGGACUUGCCUCGGGGCUAGAGUAUGAUACCGGGACUUCGGGGUAGCUUCGGGGGUUUUUGCACAGAGCUUCGACACGAAAACGAGAGGGAAUUGGCAAAAAUACCCGGAACCCUCGCAUCCUAUUUAUAGGAGGCUGGAGCCUCGGAGUACGCGGGGCGUACAGGCGUACGCGGGGCGUACUGGCCUCCGAAAUCGUCACUGCAUGCGUCAUCCGAAGUGUCGACACUCUUCGGAGUACGCGGGGCGUACGUCGGAUCGGACUGGUGACUCCCCCUUCGGAUAAUGCGGGAUUUUUCAAUUAAAAAUAAAUACAAUUUAUUUAUCAAACUUCGGAAAUUCAUAUAUUCUUCAUACGAACUUCGUUUUCGACGUUCUUUAUAUCCACGCGAAGGUGAGACUACGCUCUACAACUUUCGUUUAGACUCCGUCGGCUAAUUUUCACUUUAUUUUUAUUAUUUAUUUUUAAUAGGCCGCGACAGAAAAACUUCGUUAUAAAUUCAUAACUUCUUCGUUUGACGUCCGUUCUCACCUAACUUUUUAUCGCUUCGAUACCAACAACGAGACCUUCAAUCCUCGUUUAGAAUGCUUCGGCUAAAAACCGCUCGAUCUCAAAUCGAGUAUUUCAGGCUGCAUACCGCUAAGUCGAAACUUCGAUAAAUCAUAACUUCCUCAUACGAAGUCAGAUUUGGGCGUUCUAUAUAUAUUUGGUAACCUCGUUUCAACUACUACAACAUUAACCAAAGAUAUUAAGUUCAUUUUACACUUAAAUUUUGACGCUUAUUUUUAUUCUUAAUUAAUCAGACCACAUAAUUAAGCAAUUAAGCACAAAACACAUAAUACUCAAAUAAUACAUUCUUAUUAUUUCAAAACGGGUUACAAAGGUUAACCUAGACUAUUACAUUGCUAAAAAUGGCAAGCCCGGAAACACAGGCGUUACAACACAACACGGUAAGCAUAAAUGCUUAGUGAGUUCCUUAAAAUACCACAUACACACAUAUGCCGCUCAGGGCUAUAAUUCUCCAAGACCUUCCGGUCAAUGUGUCUCGGGGGACUUCCGUCCCAUAAUCCUGGUAGACCUUCUGGUCCCACUUCUCUGACCUUCCGGUCUGUAUCAUGUUGACCUUCCGGCGCAUACACUGUUGACCUUCCGGUCCAUAUCAUAGUAUUCAUAACGUAACAUAGCACAUACAUAUCACAUAGCAACAUAUCACAUACUUAUCAUUGCACAUAAGACCUUCCGGUCACACAUAAUUACCACUCUAGGUAAAGUAUAGUGAGAAGACUCACCUCGUAUGAUGUUGGAUAACCUUUCGUGCUUGAUAAGUUGACCUAGCCAUCAAAAUGAUAACACCUCUAAUCAAUACUUUCACUUGUCCUCAUCUCUAAAGAAUGGGUAGAAGACCAUUCUACCCUUCACUGACCUUUCUUGAAUCAGCUUGACCAAAACCCUAAGGUCAACUAAAGUCAACUCUAGUCAAUGGGAAAACUUUGACCAGACUCGUCGAGUGCACUCAGG
rnacentral:lncRNA from 1 species